UUUCUGUGUGUUUGGGAUUCCAUCUUCUUCUGCCCUUGGACAUUGACUCUACUCUUAGACUGCAGGCUCCUAACAAACAGGAUCCUACUGCUUCUUACUGGUGUGGGAGACUUCCAGUUUGAACCAGAAUGACACCAUUAGCUUUUCUGGUCUCCAAACUGUAAACAAGUGAUCGUGGAACUUCUCAGCCUCUGUCAUCAUCUGAAUCACUGUUUCAUGUUCUAGGUUUAAAAAGGUGUGCCGACAUAGCCAGCAUGAAGCAUGACUUUUCUAGUGUUGUUGUUUGCUGUUGUGGAGGAGUGAGGUCCUGUAUUCAAAAAUAGGUAUACACCAGUGUGAAUAACAAGGAUCAUAAAAGCAAGCAGCAGACAAGAACCAAGGGAGCAUGCCUCUCUUCUCUUCUUGUUACUCAAGACACAGCGAGUCUUCCCAUAUCUCCAGGGACACUGAUGACAGCACCAGGCAUUUGUCACUGGGCCACAAAGGCGGUGCAUCUGAAAAAAAAGGCCACCCACUUGGAGAAGCCUGCUUAAUUUAUCAGCCAGCAUGCACAGAUAGGGAAAGGGCCAGACUGAACUCAGGAGCAAACUCGUGCACAGGGAAGCAGGGGCAGGUGACUCCAGAGGUACAGACAGUUACACCAGAAGCUGCUAGUUGCAACCUUCUAAACAGUGUACAAUUUACUUCUUGUUUUCUUUCCAGCUUGGGGCAAGCAUUGUUCAGGGGAAUUAUAACAGUCCUUUGCUGAAGGGAGAAGAAAAGCCUUGGCUUAGUUUUUGGAAGCAUAAUAAUUUUAUUAACAUAACUGGUUUUGAAUAUUACAGCCCCCGAAGGCAAGUGGGGUUCUUUGGGUUUUGCCUAACUUUGCACCCAUUUUAAUGAAGUAUAUUUUAUGAGUAAGUCACUGCUGCAUAUAAAUAAGCAGUUUCUUUCUUAAUGAAGGGUGAAUAACUGGUGUUUGUUGCUAUGUGGAUUCUUUACAUAUGAAGUAUUUUUAAAGACUUUGGGUCUAAAGAUAAUUCAGGUUUGAAAUGCUAAUACAAAGUUGGCAUUUGGGUGAGUAUGAUAGUUAAAAAGAAUUACACAUAUUAAUGUAGUAAUUCCUAAUUAGCAAAAUGACUUUCAAAUAAGCCAUUGAGGUAGGUGUCUAAGGAGCAAUAUCUCUAAUUGCCCUAAGAUAAACUACAAACAGAACCUGCAGCAGGGUAACAGAUAGCAAUAAAAUUUGUCAAUAAAACAGAUAUUGCUUCACCUCUUUGGGCUCUGCUCUCUUGUCAGAGUGCUGCAAGCAGAGUUUUAAUGGAGAAUUAUUUAAAAGACACCAAGGCACGCUGGGACACAUCUCUGCUUAUGUAAAAUGUGGUGGAAUAUUCUUUUAAUCCUUCAAAGCUAAUCAUAAAGGAAUGGAAAAUAUUUAGGCAAAAGUUGCCUCCUUUGAAGACUUACGUGUCUACAAGAAGCUGGCCAGGAUUAUCAGCCUUUGCAUCAAACACAUCUUGUGCUUGUUUUUCAUGUGAACACUGUGUACCAGCUAACUGUGAUUACUAUCUAAUUAGGCCAGACUUUGCUGGAAGUAAGUAAACACUUUCAUCACAGAUGUAUUCUUGGUCUCCUCUGUCAUGUUUAUUCUGAAACAGUUUUUAAUAGUAAAUCCACCAAACUCUGA